UCCUAGUGUAGUCAGAUUCGGGAAGGCAGUUGCGGCGGAUUUAUUGCAAUCAUAUCCGUCCAACUCCUUUCCGUGUUUGCUUACAGCUAUAA
rnacentral:pre_miRNA from 1 species